rnacentral:lncRNA from 1 species
AUGUCUACUCAAAAUGGCAGCCAAGCAUAAUCCUCAAUGCCAUAACUCUUCGCUUUGAUAACUCCUUCUCCCACUUGUCUGCAAAGUGCUGCUUUACUGGCCUCAUCCCAGCAUCCACUGUAUCCCGCGGACGUGUCUCCUUCCUCUGAAUGUCAACGGAUUCAGUGCCUUCACCACUCACUUUGGGCUGAGAAUAUCUAAAGCUCACAGUACUAAUUAUGUCACUAUCAAGAGAAGCCUUAACCAAUCAGCCAAGUUUCCAGCAAGCAAUUUCUAGGAACUGCACGGUUCAAUUUGCAUAGAGACAAAAAGAAUGAAGAAAGACAAUUUGGAGAAGAACUGUUUUCAGCAAUAAUCCUACAUAUGAGGUAAGGCUCAAAGUUGCCAAAACGGAAUCUGGAAAUAGAGAUCCAUUAGCCUUAUGUCUAAAGUAAAUCAUAAUUGUUCUGAAAAUGAUUAACGUUGGGUGACAGCCAAUGUUCUUUGAUAAAAAAGUACUUAGUCUGAUUCUACAAUUGAGUAGACAGGAAAUGGCUCACCUUUUGGUAAUGAAUUAACUCUUUCGUAGAGGGCUAGAGCAGUUCCAAAAUAGAAGCCACAAAAAUGU